UACGAAGGGUGCAAGCGUUACUCGGAAUUACUGGGCGUAAAGCGUGCGUAGGUGGUUCGUUAAGUCUGAUGUGAAAGCCCCGGGCUCAACCUGGGAAUUGCAUUGGAUACUGGCGGGCUAGAGUACGGUAGAGGGUGGCGGAAUUCCUGGUGUAGCAGUGAAAUGCGUAGAGAUCAGGAGGAACAUCCGUGGCGAAGGCGGCCACCUGGACCAGUACUGACACUGAGGCACGAAAGCGUGGGGAGCAAACAGG
rnacentral:rRNA from 1 species